CUGACACUAGAUGCUGCCACUUUGGUCCUUGGUGCUCCAUUGUGGGAGGAGGGGGGGAGGCACUACCCAGGGAGUCCAGGACAGUGUGUGUUGGGGGUCUCUUUGCUAUGGGCUCCUGAAAAAAUUGGGGGCUGAAGGCAUCACUGAGAGGGGGGAGUGUGUGGCCCGAUCUGCCCUAGGUCCCUGAGGUGGGAUGGAGGCACAUUGCCCUACCAUGCCCCUGUCCUUCCCCUGAGUGGCAGCAGGAGUCAGCCUGCCCCCUUCUCUCCCUGGUGCAGGGACCGCCAGGGACUCAGAGGACGAGGAGGAGGACUGGGUGGACAUGCUAACAGAGGAAACUGCUCUCAAAAACAUCCGAGAGCAGCUCCAGGGCUGAGAAAAGGAUGAGGUCCAGCAGCUCAUGUUCCUGCAGGCCAUCCACCCCGCAUGACUCGCUGCACAGCAGAGAGGGCAGGACACACUGGAGCCGCACUGCUGCAAGGAGGCUGUGGUGGAGAGGACUGUGGAGCUCAUUGAGGAGCUUCCUGAUGACUCUCCACCUGGCACUGUCCUCGC